rnacentral:rRNA from 1 species
AGAGUUUGAUCCUGGCUCAGGACGAACGCUGGCGGCGCGCCUAACACAUGCAAGUCGAACGAAAUUAUUUAUCGGAAGUUUUCGGAUGGAAGAUAAAUAGUUUAGUGGCGAACGGGUGAGUAACGCGUGAGUAAUCUGCCUUAAAGAGGGGGACAACAGUUGGAAACGACUGCUAAUACCGCAUAAGACCACACCAUGGCAUCAUGGAGUGAUUAAAGGAGCAAUCCACUUUAAGAUGAGCUCGCGUCUGAUUAGCUAGUUGGUAAGGUAAUGGCUUACCAAGGCGACGAUCAGUAGCCGGACUGAGAGGUUGAACGGCCACAUUGGGACUGAGACACGGCCCAGACUCCUACGGGAGGCAGCAGUGGGGAAUAUUGCACAAUGGGGGAAACCCUGAUGCACCGACGCCGCGUGAGGGAAAAAGGUAUUCGUAUUGUAAACCUCUGUCUUCAAGGACGAUAAUGACGGUACUUGANGAGGAAGCCACGGCUAACUACGUGCCAGCAAGCCGCGGUAAAACGUAAGUGGCAAAGCGUUUGUCCCGGGAAAUUACUGGGUGUAAAGGGGAAGCGCCAGGCCGGGCCAAUUAAAGGUUGGAUGUAUAAAUCUACGGGCUUCAACCCCGUAUUUCGCAUUUCAAAACUGGAUUGGACNUAGAUUCCCUUGGUUAGUCCCAUGCUGUAACCGAUGAUUUAUUAGGGGGGGGCAUAAAAAGUGUCCCGGUCCCCCAGUUACCGCAUUAAAGUAUCCCCCUGGGGGAGUCCGAUCCCAAAGAUUGAAACUCAAAGGGAAUUGCCGGGGGCCCGCACAAGCAGUGAAGUAUGUGGUUUAUUUCGAAGCACCGCGAAGACCCUUACCAGGUCUUGAUAUCGUAUGCAUAUCUAAGAGAUUAGAGAAGUCCUUCGGGACAUACAGACAGGUGGUGCAUGGUUGUCGUCAGCUCGUGUCGUGAGAUGUUGGGUUAAGUCCCGCAACGAGCGCAACCCUUAUCUUUAGUUACUACGUAAGAGGACUCUAGAGAGACUGCCGUUGACAAAACGGAGGAAGGUGGGGAUGACGUCAAAUCAUCAUGCCCCUUAUGACCUGGGCUACACACGUACUACAAUGGCUAUUAACAAAGUGUGCCAAAAUCGCGAGAUGGAGGAAACCACAAAAAAUAGUCUCAGUUCGGAUUGUAGGCUGCAACUCGCCUACAUGAAGCUGGAAUUGCUAGUAAUCGCGGAUCAGCAUGCCGCGGUGAAUACGUUCCCGGGCCUUGUACACACCGCCCGUCACACCAUGAGAGCCGGGGGGACCCGAAGUCGGUAGUCUAACCGUAAGGAGGACGCCGCCGAAGGUAAAACUGGUGAUUGGGGUGAAGUCGUAACAAGGUAACC